GUGGAUUAGAUACCCUGGUAGUCCACGCCGUAAACGAUGCUCACUAGCUCUGUGCGAUAUGACAGUACGGGGUUAAGCGAAAGUGAUAAGUGAGCCACCUGGGGAGUACGCCGGCAACGGUGAAACUCAAAGGAAUUGACGGGGGCCCGCACAAGCGGAGGAACAUGUGGUUUAAUUCGAUGAUACGCGAGGAACCUUACCCGGGUUCAAAUGUUGGAUGCAUAACGGUGAAAGUCGUUUUUCCUUCGGGACUGCCAACAAGGUGCUGCACGGUCGUCGUCAGCU
rnacentral:rRNA from 1 species